rnacentral:rRNA from 1 species
GAAACUCUGGUGGAGGCCCGUAGCGGUUCUGACGUGCAAAUCGAUCGUCGCACUUGGGUAUAGGGGCGAAAGACUAAUCGAACCAUCUAGUAGCUGGUUCCCUCCGAAGUUUCCCUCAGGAUAGCUGGAGCUCGUUCCGAGCAGUUUCGUCGGGUAAAGCGAAUGAUUAGAGGUAUCGGGGUUGAAAGGGCCUCGCCCUAUUCUCAAACUUUAAAUCGGCGAGAAGGGUCUGUCUUGCCUGCCGGAAGACGAUCCUUGAAUGCAGGGGCUCCAAGUGGGCCGUUUUUGGUAAGCAGAACCGGCGAUGCGGGAUGAACCGAACGCUAGGCUAUGGCGCCGGAGUCGACGCUGAGCAGAUACCAGGAAAGGUGU